ACACGACUCUCGGCAACGGAUAUCUAGGCUCUCGCAUCGAUGAAGAACGUAGCAAAAUGCGAUACUUGGUGUGAAUUGCAGAAUCCCGUGAAUCAUCGAGUUUUUGAACGCAAGUUGCGCCCGAAGCCAUCCGGCCAAGGGCACGCCUGCCUGGGCGUCACGCAUCUCGUCGCCACCCCCUCCUCCCCGUCGUCCUC
rnacentral:rRNA from 2 species